AGAGUUUGAUCCUGGCUCAGAAUCAACGCUGGCGGCGCGCUUAACACAUGCAAGUCGAACGAGAAAGGGGAGCAAUCCCUGAGUAAAGUGGCGUCCGGGUGAGUAACACGUGGGUAAUCUACCCUUUGGUGGGGAAUAACCCUGGGAAACCGGGGCUAAUACCGCAUAACUCCGAGAGGAGAAAGCCGAAAGGCGCCGAA
rnacentral:rRNA from 1 species